rnacentral:rRNA from 1 species
UGGGGAAUUUUGGACAAUGGGCGAAAGCCUGAUCCAGCAAUGCCGCGUGCAGGAUGAAGGCCUUCGGGUUGUAAACUGCUUUUGUACGGAACGAAAAGUCUCGGGAUAAUACCUCGGGACCAUGACGGUACCGUAAGAAUAAGCACCGGCUAACUACGUGCCAGCAGCCGCGGUAAUACGUAGGGUGCAAGCGUUAAUCGGAAUUACUGGGCGUAAAGCGUGCGCAGGCGGUUAUGUAAGACAGAUGUGAAAUCCCCGGGCUCAACCUGGGAACUGCAUUUGUGACUGCAUAGCUGGAGUACGGCAGAGGGGGAUGGAAUUCCGCGUGUAGCAGUGAAAUGCGUAGAUAUGCGGAGGAACACCGAUGGCGAAGGCAAUCCCCUGGGCCUGUACUGACGCUCAUGCGCGAAAGCGUGGGGAGCAAACAGGAUUAGAUACCCUGGUAGUCCACGCCCUAAACGAUGUCAACUGGUUGUUGGGUCUUCACUGACUCAGUAACGAAGCUAACGCGUGAAGUUGACNGNCUGGGGAGUACGGCCGCAAGGUUG